rnacentral:RNase_P_RNA from 1 species
GCAGAAGAGAGGUCUGUCGCUUCAUGCCGGGCGCAUGAAGAGGAAAGUCCGGGCAACGCAGAGCACCAUAUUUGUCAACGGCAAGCCGGCGGCGACGUCGGGGAUAAUGUGACAGAAAACGACCGCCUCGAUUCCUUCGGGCAUCGGGGUAAGGGUGAAAAGGCGGGGUAAGAGCCCACCGGGUGCCGUGGCGACACGGCAUGCCGCACAUCCUAUGGGUUGCAAGGCCAAAUACACCGGCAGCUAAGGAUUGCUCGUCCAUUGCCGGGGGGUAGGCUGCUUGGCAUUCGUGCCAGAGCCUGCUGGCAACAGCAGGUCAAGAUAAAUGACAGACGGGUCGGCAGUUGGGCUUCCUGCUGAUACCUACAUAACCCGGCUUAUAUCUCUUCUGCUUCU